UACGUAGGGGGCAAGCGUUGUCCGGAAUCAUUGGGCGUAAAGCGCGUGUAGGCGGCUUGGUAAGUCUGCUCUGAAAGCCCGGGGCUCAACCCCGGGAGGCGGGUGGAUACUGUCAAGCUCGAGUCCGGAAGAGGAGUGUGGAAUUCCUGGUGUAGCGGUGAAAUGCGCAGAUAUCGAGGAGGAACACCAAUGGCGAAGGCAG
rnacentral:rRNA from 1 species